rnacentral:rRNA from 1 species
UUAAGCGACUAAGCGUACACGGUGGAUGCCCUGGCAGUCAGAGGCGAUGAAGGACGUGCUAAUCUGCGAUAAGCGCCGGUAAGGUGAUAUGAACCGUUAUAACCGGCGAUUUCCGAAUGGGGAAACCCAGUGUGAUUCGUCACACUAUCAUUAACUGAAUCCAUAGGUUAAUGAGGCGAACCGGGGGAACUGAAACAUCUAAGUACCCCGAGGAAAAGAAAUCAACCGAGAUUCCCCCAGUAGCGGCGAGCGAACGGGGAGGAGCCCAGAGCCUGAAUCAGCAUGUGUGUUAGUGGAAGCGUCUGGAAAGGUGCGCGAUACAGGGUGACAGCCCCGUACACAAAAGCGCAUGUGCUGUGAGCUCGAUGAGUAGGGCGGGACACGUGGUAUCCUGUCUGAAUAUGGGGGGACCAUCCUCCAAGGCUAAAUACUCCUGACUGACCGAUAGUGAACCAGUACCGUGAGGGAAAGGCGAAAAGAACCCCGGCGAGGGGAGUGAAAAAGAACCUGAAACCGUGUACGUACAAGCAGUGGGAGCACAGGUUUACCUGUGUGACUGCGUACCUUUUGUAUAAUGGGUCAGCGACUUAUAUUCUGUAGCAAGGUUAACCGAAUAGGGGAGCCGGAGGGAAACCGAGUCUUAAUUGGGCGUUAAGUUGCAGGGUAUAGACCCGAAACCCGGUGAUCUAGCCAUGGGCAGGUUGAAGGUUGGGUAACACUAACUGGAGGACCGAACCGACUAAUGUUGAAAAAUUAGCGGAUGACCUGUGGCUGGGGGUGAAAGGCCAAUCAAACCGGGAGAUAGCUGGUUCUCCCCGAAAGCUAUUUAGGUAGCGCCUCGUGAAUUCAUCUCCGGGGGUAGAGCACUGUUUCGGCUAGGGGGCCAUCCCGGCUUACCAACCCGAUGCAAACUGCGAAUACCGGAGAAUGUUAUCACGGGAGACACACGGCGGGUGCUAACGUCCGUCGUGAAGAGGGAAACAACCCAGACCGCCAGCUAAGGUCCCAAAGUCAUGGUUAAGUGGGAAACGAUGUGGGAAGGCCCAGACAGCCAGGAUGUUGGCUUAGAAGCAGCCAUCAUUUAAAGAAAGCGUAAUAGCUCACUGGUCGAGUCGGCCUGCGCGGAAGAUGUAACGGGGCUAAACCAUGCACCGAAGCUGCGGCAGCGAACGUAUCACCCAAGACAACUUUACGGAGUUGACGAUUGACGGAGCGAAGCGACGUCAAAGCGUUCAUUAAAGUCGAGUUGGCUUAGGGAUACGUUCGUUGGGUAGGGGAGCGUUCUGUAAGCCUGUGAAGGUGUGUCGUGAGGCAUGCUGGAGGUAUCAGAAGUGCGAAUGCUGACAUAAGUAACGAUAAAGCGGGUGAAAAGCCCGCUCGCCGGAAGACCAAGGGUUCCUGUCCAACGUUAAUCGGGGCAGGGUGAGUCGACCCCUAAGGCGAGGCCGAAAGGCGUAGUCGAUGGGAAACGGGUUAAUAUUCCCGUACUUGGUGUUACUGCGAAGGGGGGACGGAGAAGGCUAUGUUGGCCGGGCGACGGUUGUCCCGGUUUAAGCGUGUAGGUGUGUGUUCCAGGUAAAUCCGGUUCACUUUAACACUGAGGCGUGACGACGAGGCACUACGGUGCUGAAGCAACAAAUGCCCUGCUUCCAGGAAAAGCCUCUAAGCAUCAGGUAACACGAAAUCGUACCCCAAACCGACACAGGUGGUCAGGUAGAGAAUACCAAGGCGCUUGAGAGAACUCGGGUGAAGGAACUAGGCAAAAUGGUGCCGUAACUUCGGGAGAAGGCACGCUGACACGUAGGUGAAGUGAUUUACUCAUGGAGCUGAAGUCAGUCGAAGAUACCAGCUGGCUGCAACUGUUUAUUAAAAACACAGCACUGUGCAAACACGAAAGUGGACGUAUACGGUGUGACGCCUGCCCGGUGCCGGAAGGUUAAUUGAUGGGGUCAGCGCAAGCGAAGCUCCUGAUCGAAGCCCCGGUAAACGGCGGCCGUAACUAUAACGGUCCUAAGGUAGCGAAAUUCCUUGUCGGGUAAGUUCCGACCUGCACGAAUGGCGUAAUGAUGGCCAGGCUGUCUCCACCCGAGACUCAGUGAAAUUGAACUCGCUGUGAAGAUGCAGUGUACCCGCGGCAAGACGGAAAGACCCCGUGAACCUUUACUAUAGCUUGACACUGAACAUUGAGCCUUGAUGUGUAGGAUAGGUGGGAGGCUUUGAAGUGUGGACGCCAGUCUGCAUGGAGCCGACCUUGAAAUACCACCCUUUAAUGUUUGAUGUUCUAACGUGGACCCGUAAUCCGGGUUGCGGACAGUGUCUGGUGGGUAGUUUGACUGGGGCGGUCUCCUCCUAAAGAGUAACGGAGGAGCACGAAGGUUGGCUAAUCCUGGUCGGACAUCAGGAGGUUAGUGCAAUGGCAUAAGCCAGCUUGACUGCGAGCGUGACGGCGCGAGCAGGUGCGAAAGCAGGUCAUAGUGAUCCGGUGGUUCUGAAUGGAAGGGCCAUCGCUCAACGGAUAAAAGGUACUCCGGGGAUAACAGGCUGAUACCGCCCAAGAGUUCAUAUCGACGGCGGUGUUUGGCACCUCGAUGUCGGCUCAUCACAUCCUGGGGCUGAAGUAGGUCCCAAGGGUAUGGCUGUUCGCCAUUUAAAGUGGUACGCGAGCUGGGUUUAGAACGUCGUGAGACAGUUCGGUCCCUAUCUGCCGUGGGCGCUGGAGAACUGAGGGGGGCUGCUCCUAGUACGAGAGGACCGGAGUGGACGCAUCACUGGUGUUCGGGUUGUCAUGCCAAUGGCACUGCCCGGUAGCUAAAUGCGGAAGAGAUAAGUGCUGAAAGCAUCUAAGCACGAAACUUGCCCCGAGAUGAGUUCUCCCUGAGACUUAGAGUCUCCUGAAGGAACGUUGAAGACGACGACGUUGAUAGGCCGGGUGUGUAAGCGCAGCGAUGCGUUGAGCUAACCGGUACUAAUGAACCGUGAGGCUUAACCU